rnacentral:rRNA from 1 species
GGUUAAGCGACUAAGCGUACACGGUGGAUGCCCUGGCAGUCAGAGGCGAUGAAGGACGUGCUAAUCUGCGAUAAGCGCCGGUAAGGUGAUAUGAACCGUUAUAACCGGCGAUUUCCGAAUGGGGAAACCCAGUGUGACUCGUCACACUAUCAUUAACUGAAUCCAUAGGUUAAUGAGGCGAACCGGGGGAACUGAAACAUCUAAGUACCCCGAGGAAAAGAAAUCAACCGAGAUUCCCCCAGUAGCGGCGAGCGAACGGGGAGGAGCCCAGAGCCUGAAUCAGCAUGUGUGUUAGUGGAAGCGUCUGGAAAGGCGCGCGAUACAGGGUGACAGCCCCGUACACAAAAGCGCAUGUGCUGUGAGCUCGAUGAGUAGGGCGGGACACGUGGUAUCCUGUCUGAAUAUGGGGGGACCAUCCUCCAAGGCUAAAUACUCCUGACUGACCGAUAGUGAACCAGUACCGUGAGGGAAAGGCGAAAAGAACCCCGGCGAGGGGAGUGAAAAAGAACCUGAAACCGUGUACGUACAAGCAGUGGGAGCACCCUUUGGGGUGUGACUGCGUACCUUUUGUAUAAUGGGUCAGCGACUUAUAUUCUGUAGCAAGGUUAACCGAAUAGGGGAGCCGGAGGGAAACCGAGUCUUAAUUGGGCGUUAAGUUGCAGGGUAUAGACCCGAAACCCGGUGAUCUAGCCAUGGGCAGGUUGAAGGUUGGGUAACACUAACUGGAGGACCGAACCGACUAAUGUUGAAAAAUUAGCGGAUGACCUGUGGCUGGGGGUGAAAGGCCAAUCAAACCGGGAGAUAGCUGGUUCUCCCCGAAAGCUAUUUAGGUAGC